rnacentral:lncRNA from 1 species
AUUUUUGGAGAUGAAGAAAGGCUCUGUAUGUCUGCCUUGCUAUGGAAGGUGAAGGUGGACAGUUAUAGGAGAUCCCUUAAUACCUGUAGAGGUACUAUUCUUUCACUCGUGUCGGCAACUAACGCGUGAUUGAACAGUAAAUUUCACGUGCUUUCUCCUUCACCGAAAAUCUUCGACAAAUUGCCCGUGAUUUGCGCAAAGUUGAGUGUGCAUAUGACAGGUGAUGACGCGGCUGAAAAAGACUGGCGCCACUUCGAUAUCUGGGAUCGGCGCUUCGACAAAUUACCCGUGAUUUCCGUAAAGCUGAGUUUACGUGUGACGGGUGCCGACACGUCUGGAAAAGCAAGAU